AAUGAUCCUGUAUCGAAAGCUCCGGCGCCUGAGAAUGGGCCUGCGGCUGAUUAGGUAGUUGGUGGGGUAAUGGCCCACCAAGCCUACGAUCGGUACGGGCAGUGAGAGCUGGAGCCCGGAGAUGGGGACUGAGACAAGGCCCCAGGCCCUACGGGGCGCAGCAGGUGCGAAAACUCGCCAAUGCUCGAAAAGAGUGAGCGGGGAACCCCAAGUGCCCUUGUAUUGCAAGGGCUUUUCUUUGGUGUUAGGAGCCAGAGGAAUAAGGGCUGGGUAAGACUGGUGCCAGUAACACCAGCAGCCCGAGUGGUUGCCGUUUUUAUUGGGCUUAAAGCGUCCGUAGAUAAAUUAGUCUCUAGGUAAAUCUUACGUUCAAGCGUAAGCCUUCUGGAGAUACUGUUUAUCUUGAGGCCGGGAGAGGUUGGAGGUACUCCCGGGGUAGGGGUAAAAUCCUGUAAUCCUGGGGGGACCACCGGUGGCGAAGGCGUCCAACUGGAACGGGCCUGACGGUGAGGGACGAAACCCAGGGGAGCGAGCCGGAUUAGAUACCCGGGUAGUCCUGGGCGUAAAUCAUGCGGACUAGGUGUGGGGAUAUCCACGAGAUAUCUCUGUGCCGAAGGGAAGCCAUUAAGUCCGCCGCCUGGGGAGUACGGCCGCUGAAACUUAAAGGAAUUGGCGGGGAGCAC
rnacentral:rRNA from 1 species